AUCCACCUUAUAGGAACACAAUCGGUGUCUCCGUUGGCGGAUGGGCAGUAAUUCGGUUUGUUGCUGACAAUCCAGGGGUUUGGUUUAUGCAUUGCCACUUAGACAUACACCAAUCGUGGGGAUUAGUCGCGGUGUUGUCAGUGGAGAAUGGAAAGGGAGAGCUCGAGACUUUGCCUCAUCCUCCUACAGACCUGCCUCACUGCUAGAUCACCUUGUGUAUUUCUUUGAUAUUUCUCACCAAGUAUUUUGCUUUGGGUGCAAGUGUGUUAUAUGGUCCGCUCCAUUUCUUUAAUUGGAAUUGGCAAAUUGUAUUUGUAAACAAGAAAAGAUUGGAGUAAUAAAAUCCCACAUUUCUUUUCC